rnacentral:lncRNA from 1 species
GAAAGAUUAGUCACAAGAAAGAAUUAUAGUGAUUCUUCUCCUUCCCUCAUUGUGACCAGUUAUUCUAACUCAAUCUUGGACUGGUCUAGUAAUAAUUCCAGUAUUAGAGAUUCCUAGAGAAGACAGCUAAAAUCUUAAUUACCUAGCAAAGUUAAUUUGGAGCACAGCCUCCACUCCCAUAGAAGCUGCAGCCACCUCCCCCACACCGGGAGCUCUAAGUCUAAGCUUGAUCAUUGCUAAAUUGCUAUUGAAUGGAGUACCUGGACUUCCAAAGUACCAAAGAAGCUUUCAUACUGUUACUUUUCACGGUCUUGACUUUGUCUUUCAAGCAGGUCGGUCAAUGCCCUUCAACCUGACUGCAGCAGGUGUACAGCCUCACCUCCAACAGCGCAGGUGGCAGUUAUUAAUCUUCAUCAAGAAGCAUUCUAGUACAUAGUGUGGCUUUGGUCUGAGUUGGGAAUAAGGUGUGCUAAUGAGGGCUGGACAGUCAAUGACGGGCACUCAGAUCUCGGAACCAUACCAGUCUAAGACAGAGGUACAUGCUGUGGCUGUUGAUAACACACCACAGAGCCAAGUUUUGUGUCUAAUAUAACACAAACUAGCUGCACGUAGCCUCCAAGAUGGAAUUGCAUGGUUUGGGAAGAUCUAAGAUUUCCUAAGACAGGCGCGGCCGCCAGCCACCAUAACUCCCAGGCAGGACUAUAGAGCAUAAAUAAAUUUUAUGCCUUAGUCCAGCUUUUUAAAAAAAUAUUAAUAACAGGGAGGAAAAUGUAACCUCCUCCAGCCUAGGCAGGCUGGUUCAGACCUUAUACCCCUGAGGUGGGGCCACCUUCAGUGCAGCUCCUCAGACUCAGCUAGUUUCCUUUGAUGCCUACCACCUGCCAUGAGGCCAAACUGUUUUUCCUAGAUUUUCUUGAGUUAACUGCAACCUGUGAAUUUGGCAACUUACUGCUAAAAGGCUGUCCUGACAACUUGGCAUCAUGACAGCCAGAAACUUGGCAUGGCAGGGAAUGGGUUUCCCCCUUUAUAAGCGCAGACUUUUAUUAAACAUUUGAGCCUUUGCCACGCAUGCUCCAGUGAAGUCUGCUUGACAGGCUGAGAAGCCUGGGAGCACUUAUGAGGCAUAGAUUUCAAAAGGAACUCACCUCUUGGAGUUUUGACGUUCUCAUUAACCCAUAUACUCACACCCUAUCCCCGAGUUAGUCUAGUAUAUGAAUCCACGUGCUCUCUUUUAGUAUUAUUUUAUUAUAAGUGUCUUUUAAGGUUGAAUUCUGACAUAGCUAAGCCUCCCACCAGUGUUCCAAUGUUCCAGAAGCCGAUGAGCUUGGAAUCCGCUAGGAAUGCAGUAAUGAAGUUACCUAUUCAGUAACUAAUUAAGCAUUACAAAGGACGGAGCCAGCAGCUCAGGCCUGGUCUGCUGAGUGUUUACUAAGGACAGUAGCCAGUCUCAUCCAAACAAGAGAAUACCAUGAAAGAGCUAGGGAAUCCUACUGAGAUAGAAAUCUUCAGUACAGGCUACAUUGCAUAUUAGAAGUAAGUUGGUGAAAUCUUCUGACAAAUGGAGAUUCUCCACAGAUACUUAAAAGUUACACUCAUACAGAAAUUUAUCAAGGCCUAGGAAAGAGGGAGGUUGUGGUAAUGGAUUAUUAGUGAGAAGGUCUGCUAGAUCAGAGCCCUUGGUGGUGGGCUUAACAAUAGACUAGCUUUACACCUGGCUCCCUUCCUAGUGGCAGCAGCCUGGUCCCUGCCUUCUUUUGAUGUAUGCAUUCCUUUUGUAUUGUGUCACUGUAAUUUGGUGGAUUGUAUCUCGCCUGGUUUCUAGUUAUUCUUCUGUAUAAAAAGUUUGAUGCUAGACCUGACAAAAUACAUUCAGAUUCUACACAGUCUCCUGUGUACAUCUGUCUGUCAUUCUCACUGACUCCUUGCCCAUCUGCACCCAGAGACCCGUCAACGCAGACAAAGGGACCCAGAGGGUCUGCGGCAAGCCUUGAUCAGGAACCUUGUCUUGGCUCCAUUUCUCUCUUGUCUGCCUAGUUUCCCUCUCUUUUCAGCCCCGUUUUGCCUCCCAGGUGAAACCCAGUUCAUGUGAGCCACAGGCUGGCUUCCAACAAAUUAUAUGCAAAUUACUAGUUGGAAAAGAACAAUGGUAAAUAUUCAGAGCCAUUUGUCAAAAUGCUGAAACCAUUCUGAGUAAAAAUUCCACAGUUUCUUCUCUGAUAAUUGGUAAGUUCAUUGAUAAAUUUGUCCCUGUUACAGAAGAAAAUGGCCUUGUCUUUCUACCCUUCUUUCUGAUUUUUUGUUUCCCAGAUUUUGUCCUUUGGUAAGUUAUUCCCUUCCCAUCAUGCUCUGGGUCCCAUCUGCAUCAUAUUGGGAAGCAAACAUCUCUUCUUCAGUAGAUGUGGGGGGUGGAACAAGAAUCUUGGGUUUUGAGCUCAAUACAGCAUGAGUUUCUCAGGUGAUACAGAAGUUGGCUCUCAAAAGGUAUUUAGUGGUCCAAUAAUCACAGGCAUUUGUGGACCAAGCAUUUCAAUUUUUGGCAAAAUAAUUUGCUCAAAGACAGAAGACAUUUGGUCUACUUGGUUCCAGAGUUGCAUGUGACAGAAGCCAUAGCCAAAGGUUUUGUCCGAAUAGUAUCCUGACUGUUAUUAGCCCUUUCUGUUUUGAGUUAAUAGCAGCUACAUUCAACAUGAAAACACCACCCUUAAUCUGAUUUUGUAUCUGGCUUGGCUCACAUUUCCGGAAAGCCCUUGAGCAAGGUCUGAGUGACAUCCUUAUCUACAGUUAUUUUGUUUAUAGACACUGGUGGCUUUUCCAAAAUACUAAUCCCCAGUCAAUCCCGAUUGUGUGCCACCUGAUGACAGGAGAAUGGUGUGGACCUCUCUUCAUUUGUGUUCACCUCCUUAAUCCUGCUCUUAAACCAGCAGCCCCUGAUUUGGAACCUAAGGCUAAAGGCAGGAAAGAGCUGUUCAUUCUCAUUAGUAUCCUAAAUUUUCCUUUAGUCUCAGUCUUUUCCCAGGAGGAACAUAACCUACCUUCUUAGUCACUGCUGGUAAAAGUUUUACUGAAUGUUUUUAAACUCCCAGCCUAUGACACGUUUCUGACCUCACAGUGGGUCCACCAUUAAAAAGAGCCAAACACCAUUUAUAGCAAAACCCCACUUCUGACACCAGAGUUUUUGUUUUUGUUUUGUUUUUGUUUUUGUUUUUGUUUUGUUUUAUUACAGUGUAAGAUGGCCUGCUUUAGAAAGAGAGGGACUUCCAAAUGCUAUGGUUCAAAUACCAUGGGAUCUUCUUUCUGUUUACCUGUCUUAAAAUGAACAGAAGCUCUGCCAUUUGCUACUGGCUUCUGUCUCUGACCUCAACAGGGGUAUCCAAGUGUUCAUCAUUUGCCAGAUGACGAAGAAUGGAACAGAAGAAUGGAUGGCUAGAAGCUUUCUUUUGACGAGAGCAUCAAGAAACAUGCCCUCUUAGCUCAAAAAGCAGCAUAUUUUCCAGAACUGUCAAGUGACCACAAUUUUGACUGGUAGAGGAUCAGAAGAUGAACACUACAAAAAUAUGCAAGUGGGGUUUCCGCUGUUGAAUGGCAAGAUAGAAUACAAAAUGAAGAUAUCAAACUAAUC